rnacentral:tRNA from 1 species
AAAGGGAGACCUAAUUCCGGUAGGAGACGAAAAAAAAGUAGUCCCUACCAAGAAUCAAUCCCAAAAGGUCGGAACGAGGUAUGAGGCUUUCAAACUAGGUUCUGGGUUCAUAAAAGACCUGAAUCAGGAACAAGGGCUAUUAGCUCAGGUGGUUAGAGCGCACCCCUGAUAAGGGUGAGGUCCCUGGUUCGAGUCCAGGAUGGCCCACCUGCACAGGUGGCAAAAACAAGAGAAGCGAGGAAUCAGCACCUUAUCUUAUAUACAUAUAUAAGAGAGAAUGCUGGCUCUGAGUACAGAGUCCAGAGGAACCUUGAAAACUGCAUAGAGCUAGGUGAAAAAGCCAAAAAAGAAGACCGCAAG